rnacentral:lncRNA from 1 species
UUAAGACUUUAGCCAGAAACGUGCUUGGUUCACGUUGCGGCAGUGUGAGUCGUAGUGUAGACAGAGUCCUUGUUUACUUAGUCAAGUAAUCGUGCAAGGAUCUGGCCACGAUCUGUCCGUGGGAUGGCACGGAGAAAACGGAUCGUGAUCAGCGCAUUGUGCGAGUUUGUUAUACAGCUGAAUAAAAGGAAUGAGCAGAAAAGACGUAGCGGUUACGCGUCGCAAAAAUCUCCCUGUUCGCUGCGUUCGUGCAGCUCGUCUUUCUCCUUCAGUUCAUCUCAGGUGUGUCCACCUCGCGUGAGUGUGUCGAUCCAAGGCUGGUUCUAACACUUGGUAUUCAGAGCCUGGUUCACGUACGGCGGCGGAGGUAGGAGGAGUUGUGGCGGCGGAGAUCGACGAUGGGCGACACUUCACCGAGCAGCAGCGGCGGCGGAAAGUACACGCCGCCGGCAAGGAGGCCUGGUGAUGAGGGCACGGCCGCGGAGGUGGCGAUCGUACCGCGCAUGCCGACGAGGACCGGCGGCGUCCCGAUCCAGUAUCCCAUGCUCACGGACUCGAACUAUGGUCUGUGGGCGGUGAAGAUGAAGCUGCUCCUUCGCCCCUACGGUGUCUGGCCGGCGAUCGAGGGGACAGGCGAGUUUAAUCAAAACAGGGAUGACGAAGCCUUUGCUGCCUUGUCUCAGUCUGUUCCCGACUCGGUGAUGAUGGCAGUGGCUGAAUGCACCACCGCUCACGAGGCCUGGGAAGCGAUCCGGCGCAUGCUUGUCGGUGAGGACCGCGUCAAGAAGGCGCGGGUCAAGCAGUUGAAGCGACAGCUCGACCGCAUGGAGAUGGACGAUGGUGAGUCCGUUAGUGUGUUUGCGCAGAAAUUGCUGACUCUCGUCGGAGAAAUCCGAUCGUUGGGCGAGACGGUGUCAGAUGAGUCGAUCAUUGAGGUCCUCUUCAACGCCGUCCCGAGCCGGUUUGGGGACAUCGUGAACACCAUUGAGCAGUGGGGUGACCUCAGUACCAUGACCGUGUCGGAGGCAGUUGGUCGCCUCGCCGCGUUUGAAGAGAGCCAACGCGGGCGGCGCCGUCAAUCCGGUGGGAAGGAGGACCAGCUGAUGCUGAUGACACAGGCCCUUGAGCAGCUCAUGAAGGGAAAAAAUGGGCCACCGGGAGCCGGCAGUAGCAACGCUGGUCGUGGCCGCGGAGGUGGUCGAGGUCGAGGCGGUGGCCGCGGUAACCGCGGACAAGCCGGGCGCGGCGAGAACAAGGACGUGGAGAAGCAGAAGAAACACCGUAAGUUCGACAUCACUAAGGUCAGGUGUUUUAACUGUAAUAAGAUGGGACAUUUUCAGUCAGACUGUCCAGAGCCCAAACGAGAGCAGGCAAAUUUUGCCCAGGAGGAGGAUGCAGAUGAGCAACCUCUGCUCAUGAUCGCAGCAUGUCAGCUGGCCCCAGCAAAGAUCGAGUUGACGGAACAAGUGUUCUUGAAUGAGAAGCAGGUGCUUCCGAAGCUAAGCGGUGAUUGGGACAUCUCCUGGUACUUGGACACCGGAGCAAGCAAUCAUAUGACCGGUUGCCGCGACAAGUUUGCAGAGCUCGAUGAGGCAGUAAACGGCAAGGUCAAAUUUGGCGAUGGUUCUGCUGUGGACAUCCGUGGACGAGGUUCAGUUCUCUUGAAGUGUCUCACAGGUGAGCACCGGGUUCUGACGGAUGUAUACUUCAUUCCUCGACUUAAGAACAACAUUAUCAGUUUGGGCCAGCUAGAUGAAAAUGGAUGCAAGUAUGCAAGUGAGGAUGGAGUAAUGACCGUGUGGGACAGAGAAAGAAAUGUUCUUGCACGAGUGAAUAGGACCAAGAACAGGAUGUAUAUACUGAACAUCCAGCCCACUGAACCUGUGUGUCUGCUUGCUCACGCUAAGGAUCAAGCAUGGUUGUGGCACAUGAGGUAUGGACAUGUAAAUUUCAGGUCACUUCGUACACUUGCAGCAGAAGAGAUGGUACAUGGCAUGCCGUACCUCGACCGGGUGGAGCAAAUCUGUGAUGGGUGCAUGAUAGCAAAACAGAGACGCCUCUCCUUCCCAGUUCAGGCGACUUACCGCGCAACGGAGCAACUUCAGCUCAUCCAUGCAGACUUGUGCGGACCUAUAACACCUGAAACGCCUGGCGCAAAGAGGUAUUUUCUUUUGUUAGUGGAUGACCACUCUCGGUUCAUGUGGAUUACUCUGUUGCGGAGCAAAGAUGAAGCUCUCAAUGGACUGCAGAAAAUCCAAAAGGCAGCUGAAGUUGAAAGUGGGCAUCAGUUAAAGGAAAUUAGAACAGACCGAGGGGGUGAGUUUACUUCAAGAGAAUUUGCAGAGCACUGUGAGCGGCACGGAAUCAAGCAUUUUCGCACGUCACCGUAUAGCCCACAACAAAAUGGUGUGGUUGAAAGGAGAAACCAAACCGUGGUGGGCAUGGCGCGCAGUCUGCUGAAAAGUAUGGGGGUGCCACCUCGGUUUUGGGGUGAAGCAGUGACCACUGCCGUAUAUUUGCUGAACAGAUCGUUGACAAAGAGUGUCAAGGGGAAAACACCAUAUGAGGCUUGGUAUGAGAAAAAGCCGUCAGUUCAACAUCUUCGUACUUUUGGUUGUGUUGCUCAUGUGAAGAAGGUUGGGCCCGGCGUGUCAAAACUCUCUGAUAGAAGCUCACAAAUGAUCUUUAUUGGUUAUGAACAUGGCUCCAAAGCCUACCGCAUGUAUGACCCUGAAAGCAAGAAACUUGUUGUAUCACGAGAUGCAGUGUUCGAGGAAGACAGGUGUUGGGAUUGGAGCAUCUCGGGAUCAGUGGAAAGUAGCGAUGGAAGUUCAUUUGUUAUCAGCUACCCAGAACAACCAAAUUGUGACGAAGCAGGAGAGGUAGCAGAAGACGUUGCCCCGGAGGCGGAUUCAUCAAGUAGAACCCCUGCAAUGGCAGCGCCUCGGCUGGGUGAUAGAACAAGACGUGCUAACGACGGGUCUGCGAUCCCGCUGGACCUAGAAGCCUCUCCGGUGACUCCUGCUUAUGCCCCUGGUUCUCCUGACACACCGUACUCCGAGCCUUCCGAGGGCCCACAAGGCAAGCGCCUUCUGGAUGAUGUCUAUGAGGAAACGACAGAGGUAGAGGCAGCCUACUCAGGCCUCUGUUUAUUUGGUAUGGAAGAACCUGCCAAUCACUUCGAGGCGAUGAAAGAGUCGUGUUGGCAGAGAGCUAUGCAGGAUGAAUUGAGCUCCAUUGAGGCAAAUAGUACAUGGCACCUUUGUGACCUGCCAAAGGGAUGCAGGCCCAUUGGUCUGAAGUGGAUUUAUAAGAGAAAGAAGGAUCCCAAUGGAGUUGUAGUCAAACACAAGGCGAGGCUGGUAGCUAAAGGGUAUGUACAACGCCAAGGGGUCGAUUUUGAGGAAGUUUUUGCUCCUGUUGCACGCUUGGAAUCUGUCAGACUUCUAGUGGCACUUGCUGCACAAUUUGGUUGGAAAAUGCAUCAUAUGGAUGUUAAAUCAGCGUUUCUCAACGGUGAUCUGAAUGAAGAAGUCUAUGUGAGCCAACCGCCGGGGUUUGAGAUUGCCGGAUGUGACAGCAAGGUGUACAGACUUAAGAAGGCUCUCUACGGCCUUCGACAAGCUCCAAGGGCAUGGAACUCAAAAUUGGAUACUACUCUCACUGAAUUUGGCUUUGAAAAAUGCCCUUCCGAGUCGGGUCUGUACAGGAAAAGGGCAGCUAAGUCAGUACUGAUAGUGGGUGUGUAUGUUGAUGAUUUGAUUAUCACUGGCGGCAGUGACCGUGCCAUCAAAGAAUUCAAGGACCAGAUGAAGUCUAAGUUUAGCAUGAGUGACUUGGGUCUACUAAGUUAUUACCUGGGUAUUGAAGUUAAGCAAUCAGAAGAAGGUAUUGUUUUGUGCCAAUCAGGUUAUGCUUCCCGGAUCCUUGAGAAAAUGGGGAUGUCAGACUGUAAGUCAGCCCAAACCCCACUGGAACCCAGGCUGAAACUCAGCAAGAACAGUAAGGCUAAAGAAACUGAUGCAACUCAAUACAGGAGUUUAGUGGGGAGUUUGAGAUACUUACUUCACACACGUCCUGAUCUCAGUUUUGCAGUGGGUUUUGUUGGCAGAUUUAUGGAGAAGCCCACAACAGAGCAUUUGGUCACAGUCAAAAACAUUUUGAAGUACGUAAAAGGAACACUCAACCUUGGAUGUGUCUACAACAAGUCUAGAGAGUAUGCGCCUCAACUGAUAGGAUACAGCGACAGUGAUCAUGCGGGAGACAUUGAUGAUCGCAAAAGUACUUCAGGUGUUCUGUUUUACUAUGGUGGCUGUCCCAUAACCUGGACAUCGCAAAAACAGAAAAUCGUCGCUCAGUCUUCCUGUGAGGCUGAAUAUGUAGCUGCUGCAUCAGCAGCUUGUCAAGGGAUUUGGUUAGCUAGGCUUCUUGGAGAAUUACUGGAUCAGAAGCCAAACAAGGUACUACUGAAAGUGGAUAAUCAAUCAGCCAUUUCCUUGUGCAAAAAUCCUGUGUACCACGAGCGAAGCAAGCACAUUGAGAUAAAAUAUCACUUCGUGAGAAGCUGUGUUGAGGAGGGGAAGAUCAUUGUGGAACAUAUAAGAACUGAAGAACAGCUUGCUGACAUAUUAACAAAGUCACUUCCUAGGGUUCGGUUCCAGGAGAUGAAGGAGAUGAUCGGAUUGCGUGAUGUGAAGUGAGUGCAGCAGAGAUUAAGGAGGUGAAUAUUAUGUUAACCUCGCUGCACCCAUGCUAAGUUCAGUUGUGUCAUGUUAUUUCAGCUAUCUCAUAAGCGUAUCUGUAUGCAGUUUGUUUAAGACUUUAGCCAGAAACGUGCUUGGUUCACGUUGCGGCAGUGUGAGUCGUAGUGUAGACAGAGUCCUUGUUUACUUAGUCAAGUAAUCGUGCAAGGAUCUGGCCACGAUCUGUCCGUGGGAUGGCACGGAGAAAACGGAUCGUGAUCAGCGCAUUGUGUGAGUUUGUUAUACAGCUGAAUAAAAGGAAUGAGCAGAAAAGACGCAGCGGUUACGCGUCGCAAAAAUCUCCCUGUUCGCUGCGUUCGUGCAUCUCGUCUUUCUCCUUCAGUUCAUCUCAGGUGUGUCCACCUCGCGUGAGUGUGUCGAUCCAAGGCUGGU